GUAACCUGCCCUUGACUCUGGGAUAAGCCCGGGAAACUGGGUCUAAUACUGGAUGCUACAUGUCACCGCAUGGUGGUGUGUGGAAAGGGUUUACUGGUCUUGGAUGGGCUCACGGCCUAUCAGCUUGUUGGUGAGGUAAUGGCUCACCAAGGCGACGACGGGUAGCCGGCCUGAGAGGGUGACCGGCCACACUGGGACUGAGACACGGCCCAGACUCCUACGGGAGGCAGCAGUGGGGAAUAUUGCACAAUGGGCGAAAGCCUGAUGCAGCGACGCCGCGUGAGGGAUGACGGCCUUCGGGUUGUAAACCUCUUUCAGCAGGGAAGAAGCCACAAGUGACGGUACCUGCAGAAGAAGCGCCGGCUAACUACGUGCCAGCAGCCGCGGUAAUACGUAGGGCGCAAGCGUUGUCCGGAAUUAUUGGGCGUAAAGAGCUCGUAGGCGGUUUGUCGCGUCUGCUGUGAAAGCCCGGGGCUUAACCCCGGGUGUGCAGUGGGUACGGGCAGACUAGAGUGCAGUAGGGGAGACUGGAAUUCCUGGUGUAGCGGUGGAAUGCGCAGAUAUCAGGAGGAACACCGAUGGCGAAGGCAGGUCUCUGGGCUGUUACUGACGCUGAGGAGCGAAAGCAUGGGGAGCGAACAGGAUUAGAUACCCUGGUAGUCCAUGCCGUAAACGUUGGGCACUAGGUGUGGGGGACAUUCCACGUUUUCCGCGCCGUAGCUAACGCAUUAAGUGCCCCGCCUGGGGAGUACGGCCGCAAGGCUAAAACUCAAAGGAAUUGACGGGGGCCCGCACAAGCGGCGGAGCAUGCGGAUUAAUUCGAUGCAACGCGAAGAACCUUACCAAGGCUUGACAUAUACCGGAUCGUUCCAGAGAUGGUUCUUCCCCUUUGGGGUCGGUAUACAGGUGGUGCAUGGUUGUCGUCA
rnacentral:rRNA from 1 species